UGGUGCACAAAGAGAGAGGGGUGGUGCCCUUCUCCCUACACGCGCAAUAAAAGAAGGGGCGCCAAUGUUGGCGCUCCAUUCUCCUAAGACUCCCUCUCCUUCUCUCUUUUGAAAUUAACUCAAUUUUAGUUAAUUUAGAAUUAGAUUAGGACUCCUAAAAGAGGUUUAAAUUUGGAUUAUGGCAUGAGAAUUCAAACAGAAGUAGGACUCCUUUUGGUUUGGGUGUGGACUUCAUGUGGCCACCCCUUUUGCCUAUAAAUAGGGGUGCCCCACCUCUAGGAUGCCUUAAGCACUCUUCCAUCAGAUCC
rnacentral:lncRNA from 1 species